rnacentral:lncRNA from 1 species
GGUCUUUGCUGCAUCUCAUUGAGCUCAUAUGUGGGCAAAUCAAAAAAUAAAACUCAGGUUUCCUAAUUCCUAGGCUGCCAUUAUUUUCCCAUCCCACAGUGCCUUCUUGUCUCUUCUGCAUUUUCUUUCUUUAGAGAAUUCUAUUCCUUUUGGAAUGUGGGCUGGGAUGCUAGAACAUUUUUUAAGGUAAUUUCAUUCUCUGCUAGAACUAAAUAUUUAUCAUGGUGAUAACAUUUAGACCCUUCUCACCGGCAGUUCCAUGCAUGUGAUCUUAUUAGGUUUUCUUCUGAGAAUACUAAAGCUAUUUUUACUUCUCUGGAUAAAAAUAAAAAUGCUUUAAAUUUCUCUAGCCAAAUACCUCAAGCUUUGAGUUGUCUUUAUAUUUUAGUUUGGAGAAUAAAAAGCCGAACAGUUGUGUUAUUUCAUUCUUGGAUAUCAAAAGAUAACUGCUCAUUGAUAAUGAGAAUUGUAGGGCCAGUCCGACUUUAGUGUUAAGUUCAGAGCAUAAAAGAUCAUAUAUCAACAUGACCUCACUAACCUUCCCUGUGCUAAAUGACAAACUGCCAGAAAUAGCCUUUGGAUCAGGUCAUGGAUACACUAAAAUACUUACCCUUCACCAGAGAACUCUAUUGAACCCUAUCUGUCAUUUACCACCUUCAAUCACAGAAGCCUGCUUCAUUGCUAAAGAGAAUUUCAAAUAAAGCAUGAAAGGAGAUAACUUCCUUCCAAUAGUUCAACUUCCGAUUUGAUUUAGUGUCUCUUUGAACUUUUGAAAUAACAUGGGGAAAGAUCACAACCAGUUCCACUGUGCUUUUAGCAUUUGUAGAAGAAUUUCACUAUAAGGGGAAGAAUAGGGUUUUAGAGUCAGUGAGUUUCUUCCUGGUGUCUAUACCUCCCUUCCCCCUCCCAUAAGAGGUUAACACUGUAUCAUUGUUAUCACGAUGAUAUAGCUCUUUUCUUAACAGCAGAACUAGACUCAGCUAAUAGAGAAUUGGUUAAGCUUUUUAAGAGAAUAGUGUGAUUCAACCAAGGGGUGCUAAGAUUGCUAGCUUCUUCGUAUACAUACUUAUCUUCAAGGAAAUGCAUAUACUCUCCAACUACCAUCAUUCUAACCUUCAUGUGCUAUUUUCAUAUAUUUUUCAUGUGUGGGAAAAACCAUUGGGAAGGUGUAAAAAACUGGUAUAGGUUGUUGAACUUCAGUGUUACCCAUUGUAGUUUUUCAAUGGGUAAUUACUGAGACUUCACAUUGUACAUUAGCAUUUGUGCACUUGACAUUGGGAUGGGCACAGUGACUCACUGGAGAAACAAACAGAACCAUACAGACACAAUCCUCACAUUUAUAAAGCUUACAAGGUUAAUAGUAAAGAGAUCUGCUGAAUGAAUGAAUGACUGAAUGACCUUUUUUUCACAUAAUCUUUUAACACAAAAAGAGUAUAUUUUCCUAUUGUGGAGUCUAAAUCGCAACAAAACAACUGGUCGAUAGACUUUUUAAAAAAACUGUCUAUUGUAGUUUUAACUUUAGCUUUUUCCUUAAAGUUUUUGCCAUCUCCUUAAUUAUAUUAAUCAUUUCAUUUAUAUAUUAUACUAUGAUUCAGUCAAGAAGUAUGUCCCAUGCUGUAGGAGAUCAAUUUAUUAUGGAGUUUCAUUGAAUCUUCAACAGCUAAGCCUUUGAAUGGUCUCACUGGAUCUUCAACAGCUAAGCUUCUGUUGAAAAGCUUUUUAAGAGUUUAUGUCAUUACCAUCAAGGAAACGUGAGUAACAUUCUUUCUGUAAAUCAGAAGUGGGAAAGAUUUUUCCCCUGCUCAUGGCUCACGUAACAGUGUGAUGGAUAAGGUAGAAUGUGAAAUAUGUUGUUAGGCAUGGAGGAAAGGGAAGCCCCAGUAAAGUAAGUAGUAUACCUGACUCCAUUGAAAAAUCCAUCGAGUCAAACUAUUCAUAGAGAACCUGCUACAUACUUGGUAGUGAUUUAAAGACUAUAAAUUGUUUCUACCCUCAGGAUUAUUCCAUUCUAAUCUGAAAAAUCAAACCAAUGCCUAUGCACAAAAAGUGCAGAUAGGAGUUCCCAGUGUGGCUCAGCGAUUAACGAACCCGACUAGCAUCCACGAGGAUGCGUGUUUGAUCCCUCAUCUCGUUCAGUGGCUUAAGGAUCUGGUGUUGCAGUGAGCUGCGGUCGUCGACAACUCAGCUCGGGUUCCACGUUACUGUGGCUAUGGUCUAGCCUGGCAGCUACAGUUCUGAUUGGACCCCUCUCCUGGGAAUCUCCAUAUGCCACAGGUGUGGCCCUAAAAAGACAAAAAGACUGAGAAAAAGUGCAGAGAUAGCCCACAGCCCAUCCCUGCAAUGGCAGAGCAAAAACUUUAAUCAGGUACCCACAGUUAGGUAUAAGCUGUUCUAUGAGAUACUUGUUACUGUCAUCAGCCCUGUGAUAGAAUCAAGGUAGAAACAACACAAAGAUGGGUGCUGAAGCUGACCAGCCUGAUUUCUAGUGAUGUCAACUUUGGCCAGAACUCUCACAAGUUACAAGAGUGCUGUUUUCUUUGUGUGUGUGUGUGUGUGUGUGUGUGUGUGUGUGUGUGUGUGUGUGCGGGUCUGUCACUUAAAAUAAUAAUUAUUUAUUGUGCUCACAAAUACGAGAUUUGGGCAAGACAGAAGGAAAGCCACUUGGCAGCUGGGGAGCACAAUUUAGGGCUGGGGGAUGUAUAUCCAAGAGGGCUUACUCCCCGAGUUGAUACUUUGUAUCCACUGAUCCAUCAGCUGAGUCUCAGGGCCUUGAGCCUUCUUUCUUCUCCAGCAGACUGGGCUUCCUUGAAGCAUGGUGACUGGGUUUCUAGGACAGGUGUUUAAGAGCAUAAGACAGAAAAAUAUGGCAGUAGGAUGAUACAGUCUUGGAAGUCUCAUAAACUCAAGUUCGCAUCUCACUAGUGUUGUUCUUCGGCAAACUGACACUGUCCUAACCCCCAGAUUUCUCUUUAUCCAUCCAUUAGUCAACAAGCCUUCUGAAGUGCCUCUAGCACAAUGUUAGAACUCCCUGCUCUGGGGUCCAUUUGUUUGAACUUGCAUUCUAGCUGUCCUACUUGCUUACUGAUAAAACUUCUAUAAUAUUUACUCAAUCUCCUUGUGCCUUAGGUUUUUUUGUUAUGGCAUUUUUUUAAUUGAAGUAUUAAUUGAUUUCUAAUAUUUCAGGUAUACAGCAAAGUGAGUCAGUUAUGUAUAGAUAUAGAUAUAUAUGUUCUCUCUCAGAUUCAGGAAUGCUAGUUUCGUAUCACUUUCAAAAAUGAGUAAAUGAUAACAUGAAAAAGACUUCGGCUGGCCCAACUCUUGCUUCAACCAAGUUAAGUCUAGUGGAAUUUAGUGUAAGAGUUAAUCAUAAAAAGUCAUUGAAAGAAUAUAUUCAUUCCAAUGGGGCCGCACAAACAAUAAGUGAAUAAAGGAAUGAAUGAAUGAAAAUUUGGGUUCUGAUAUAUAUGCUCUGAAGAAAGUUUUUUUUUAACUAGUAAUGUAUCAGAACAACUUCAGGUUUAUUUGGAUAGGGUUACUGAAGCCUUCUUAAAAGAGGUGACAUGUGAAUUGAGACAUCAAUGAGAAGAAGGCAUCCAUCCAACGACGUGGUGGAAGAUCUAUUCCAGCAGAAGCAGAUGAGGUAGGAACGAGCUUAUUUAAUUUGUGAGACAGAAGAAAAAAGAAAGAAGGAAGGGCAGCACGACUAAUGUAAAUGGAAGAAGAACUGUAGAAGAAGAGAUGGAAAAGUAGACAAGUGUCAAAUUAUAUAGAUUUGUGUAGCCCAUGGUUGCAGUGGAGACACUUUCAAAGAUGAUAAGUGGGGAGAAGUUUAAGUCUAAUCUUCACUUUAGGGGGAAAAAAAUCCCCUAAGGGCUAUAGAGUAAUGGAAAGUAAAGACAGGGAGAUUAUUGCCUCCAUCCAGGUGAGAGGUGAAGGAAACUGGGCUAAGCCUUAGUAGUGGAAAUGAGAGAAGUCACUGGACUCAGGACACGUGGAAAUUACUUGUGCAUUUGGAUGUGGUGUGUCAAGGGAAAAGUGGAAUUAAAACUUGCACAUGUUUUACUUGUACUACUGAGUUAAUGCUCCUGCCAUUAGGGAGCCCCUGAAAAGUUCAGAGGGAAGGGAUCCAGGGCUCAAAAGACAAGAUUGGCUUUUGACUGGCUCAUGGACAGUUCUUCCGCUACACCUGGAAGACAGAAUGCUUAGGUACCAGUGGAAGCAGAUUAGAGAAAUGGUGGAAAGAUGCUAUAUUCCCCCAUCUGUAAUUUUUUUUUUCUAUGAAGGAAGAAGCACAAGCUGAAAGUAAAUUGAGGAAAGGUAGUGUUAGGGAUUUUAGGAAAGAAAAGAUAAGAAAUAAUCACCUUGGAGAGGGAGAAAGUGAAUUUAUUUUUAAAAAUGUGCUAAGAUUGACUGGAAAGGUCAAGAGGUCAAUUCUGAUAUGUAGUCAUAUUUUAAGGGAGGCCAAUUAGCCAGGUUGUGUAGUAUUUCCAAUGAUCAGCCCUGUGGGUGCUGGCAGAGAGCAAGUAGAUAGUUGGUUUAACCAUGGCUAUUAAUUUGCUCUUGCUGCUGUAACAUACCAUGAACUUAGUGGCUUUAAAACAACACAAAAAGUGAUUAUCUUACAUGGCCAGAGGUCAGAAUUCAAAUUUAGCCCAGGUCUCACUGGGCUAAGUCUGAGAUGUCAGUCAGGCUGCCUUCCUUCUGAAGACUCUAAGUAAAAUCCAUUUUUUUGCUUUUUCCAGCUUCCAGAGCACACUUCUUGGCUCACUGCUUCCUUCCAUCUUCAAAUCCAGCAACUAGCUGGUCAAGUUCUCAGGCUGCCAAGCCUCUGCUUCUCUCUCUCUGCCUCCCAUGUAGUGACCCUGGGCUCACCUAGAUAAUGAAGGAUAAGCCCCAUCUCAAGGUCUGCUAAUUAGCAACCUUCAUGUCACCUGCAAUUUUAGUUCCCCUUUGCCUUAUAACCUGACAUAUUCAUACUUGCAGGGAUUAGGCUGUGGACAUCUUUGGGGAACUGUCAUUCUGCCUAACCUUGGAUCAGUCUGCUCUGGCUACUGUAAUAACAUGCCAUAGGCUGGGUUACUUAAACAACAAAAAUUUAUUUUCUUAUAGUUCUAGAAGCAGGAAGUCUGAGAUCUGGGUGCCAGCAUAGUAAGCUCCUGAUGAGAACUUUUUUCCUGGCUUGCUGACAGCUAUCCACUCACUGUGUUUUCACAUGGCACAUUGAGAGAGAGAGAGAGAGAUGGGGGUCAGGGCACAGGGAGGGAGCUCUGAUAUCUCUUCUUAUAAGGACAUUAAUUUGGGGGGAUCAGGGCCCCAUCCUUAUGACCUCAUUUAACUUUGAUUACCUCCUUGUAGGUCCUAUCUCCAAAUACAUUAGGAGUUAGGGCUUCAACAUAUGACUGACUUUGUGUGAGGGACACAAGUCAGUCCAUAACAUAUACCUUGGUUGGAGUUUUGACAGAUGAAGUAUAAUGAAGAAAAGAAAGAGAGAUAAGAAACCUAAGAGUUUUCAAAGAAUGGUUAGAAAGCUGAACCAUAGAAUCCAAGUAAAGAGUGAGGAUAUGAAAAGCAUGGUUAGGAGACAAACUAAACGAGAUUGGGCACGUUCAGGGUGGUACGGCCGUGCUUUCACUGACAUGUGGAAUCUGAAAAAAGGACAGACUGAUCUUCUUUGCAGAACAGAUGCUGACUCACAGACAUUGAAAAACUUAUGGUCUCCAGAGGAGACAGUUUGAGGGGUGGAGGGGAUGUGCUUGGAUUGUGGGAUGGAAAUCCUGUGAAAUUGGACUCUGAUGAUCAUUAUACAACUAAGAUGUGAUAAAUUCAUUGAGUAAUAAAAAAAAAAAAA